ACCACAGGAGAGCAGAGAACAAGGAUUUAAAGAAUAUAUUAAUUAAUGAAGUGUCUGCCACAGAAGAGCAGAUGUGACAUUGUUUGGGCCUUAGUGCCAAAUGUAAAGUGGGGACGCCCACACACUGAGAACUGUUUUCCAGAUGUACGCUUAUUGAUUUGAAAAGUCACACUGAUGCGGCCUAGCCGUACGACUUAUAAGCACACUAAUGCAUCUGGAAAGCCAUAUCUGGGACUUGUGACCGGGUAAUGUCAGGAGCGGGUAGGCAACCGACACAUGAGCUCAUGGCCUGCGUUAGGGAUAGACAUGCAUCAUGUUGUUUGCACAUUUGCAUUUGAUUGCGCUUGCUUGUCUUAUUAUUUUGUGAUUGUAUUGUUUGUCUUGUUGUGACUUGCUUGUACAUUGAAUUGAAUCUCUUGCUUGCACUACUUGUUUGUGAGUGUAUUAAAGUAAUUACGAGUUGACAUUUGACUGAGGAUUAAUAUGUGGCUGAGAGACAGAAAAUGUGACUAAUUUAUAUUUAAGUUUUGUUUUGAGUUAAGAGCAUUUUCAAAGGGUUUGAUAAAAAUAUAUUUUUUAUUGAGUAAAGUUAAUUAUUUGCAUUUUAUUCAUUACUUUUACGGCAUUCCCAUUCCCUACUGAGAACAUGUGGUUUGUUCUCACCCCAAAAUCUUCCAUCCUUUCAGUGACACAGGUUCGAAGAUUCAGUUAGAAGAUGCAGACAACCAGUAGAUUAACUUGUGAUUCUUGUUAUUUUUAUAGAGUUCCCUCGCCCUUGUUGCUUUAAGUUUUAUUUUAUCCAGAGGGAUAGGUAUUGUAUUUGAGUUUUAUAUUAAAUUCAUUUGUAUAGCAUUUACUAUUAUUAAUAAUUGUGUGAUUUUAAUUACUAAAAUAUUUUUCUGAAAUUUUCUUAAAAACUGAAACGCGGUAUCGACGUAAAGGCUCAAUAGUAAAUUUAUAAUAAAGGAAAUCAGGUCCGUAACGCCUUACUUUUGGUACGAUCAUGACGUGUUAAAAGUUAGGGUGUUACAAUAAAUAACUCAUGUACCUUUUAUUUAUGAAAUAGAGUUGAAGUUGAUUUGAAUAUGAAAUAGGUUGUGUGCUUAUUUUCCUCUAGAUUCUUUGAGAGUAAGAGGUGCAUCAUUGGCUUGAUCAAUCAAGGUAGGUUUAUGGCUAUUUUCACCAUAGUGGGGUUGCUAACCUCGCCAAAAUUGGUGAAUCUAAACUAUGUCACCAUAGUGGAGUUGUUAAUCUCGUCAAGAUUGGUGAAUCUAAACUAUGUCCCUAUAGUGGGGUUUCUUUUAUUAUUUUGUUCACUCGAAAAAUUUUUGAUACACUUUUCAAAACUAGUAAGGAGUAGGUUUCGCUCACAGAUCAUUAGAUAUCGAACCAUUUUGAUUUGCUAAAAAAUGA
rnacentral:lncRNA from 1 species